rnacentral:lncRNA from 1 species
AGAACACUUUGACAAUAUACACUUUUCCAACUUAUCUUGUUUCUUACGUAAUUCCUACCAUUUGCAGGUAUAAUUAUCACGGUGGGUAUGGUUGUCCUGCGAGAGAACGUACUGUGCUGGUGAUUUGGUCCUGACGGGUGCUGGUGAUCAAUGAAAAAAUGUAAACAAAGACGAAAACAAUGAUUUUUGACGUUUUCACUCAUAAAAAAUGGAAGAAAACGGUUGAGAUUUUUCAAUUUUGUUUCUUAUGGGUUCAUAUGUAAACCAUUAAAAAGUUGACCCUCUAAACUUUUUCAGUAAGCGUAACACAGAAAUGCUCAUUUUCAGAAAAUCUCGAACUGAAAAAAUAAAACAAAAAUGCUCAUAGAGUCCGCUUUCUAUACCGCAAUCCACGCGACAAAACUAUUUUGUGAAAAAACAUUGCAAUUUAAAUUAGUAUUAAAAUUUAGCAUUUUCUCAAUUUAUUCAUGUCCUGAUACUGUGCUGGUGGGUCCUGUCAUUGUGCUGGUGGGUCCUGAUACGGUGCUGGUGAUUUUGGAUAAGAAGUUGGUCAUAUUUGAAACAAAUGUUACAAAAUCAAUAAUAUUGGGCAGAUAAUUGUUGUCAAUAGGAUCUAUGACUCCUAUUUUAGCUCUUGUGCAUCCAUUUGGCUGUUUAAUAUGUGUUUUGAAAUGAUCGUAACUUGUAUUAAAUAAUUACAUAAAAGGGCAACAUCUUUCGUCCAAUAUCAGAUAACAAUAUAUAGUAUCUAAAAUAAGAAUAGUUUUAUUAAGAUAUUUUAAAUGCCCCUUACAUUGAUGCUUCAACAAUGAUCAAAGCCAAUGCCGCAUAGACAUGUUUGUUAGCGCUCCGCAUACCCCUCCCCACUUCCACCCAACCAACCCUCCUCAUUUCCUCCUUCAUUGUUACAGUGGUGUAUCAACACAACAAUUUAUUACAUAAAAUAAUAACACAAAGACACACAUUAUUGAAUAACGAAUGCUUGCAGGUACUGAAAGUUAGUUAGUUCAAGCUAGCAUUUUAGCAACAUUUUCAACUAAUAGAUAAACCAUGUUCUCAAAUACAAAAAUCCAAUCGUGUAGAUUAAAAAAGUCUCAAAACUUAAGUUCACAUUUUAAUGUUUGAUGAAGCAGAACUUUAAAAGUGUGCAGUGAAUCUUGUUCUCACAACAGUUAUUGUCAUAAUUAUGUUUACAUAAGACUCAUAAAGGAAUUAAGAAGGUACCAAGCAAUAUUUUACAGUUCAAUUUAAUGAUCAUGAAUGGAAGGAAAUGGUACGGAAGUUUACAUAGGACAAAAAGAAAUUGAUAGUAUUUUUUGGCGAAAGACUUAAACGCUUCCUUGCAUUAUAUAGUACAGCUCUUCUAUAAAAGCAUGCAAAAAAAAACUUUGAUUGACUUGCUUGCUAUGUUUGCUUGGAUGUUUUCAAACAAUAGGUAGGCGGAGUUUCAAUACAUACUGGGAUUUGAUUGGACAAAUACAAACUGACAGGAAUUGAAGUUAAUGUUUAUUUUCCAAACAAAUUGUAGUAUAUAGUAAACAGACUACUUACCUGUCGUUUACAAACAUCCAAACAAUCAUAGCAAGCAAUUUAAUCAAUGGUUUGCUUUGCAUAUAUUUAUAGAAGAGCUGUAAAUUCUAAAAAAAAAAGAAAUUUUGUUGUCGUAGAUGGUUAAAUCCUCAACAAAAUCACAAUAUCUUUGUUGGAACGAAUAAAGGUUUUAAAUCAAAUUUUCGUGGACUUUUUAGCUUCCACCCUGACGAGACAUGUUAGCUGUUCGUAUGCUGUUGCACCUGACGCACGGAAACUUUCACAUUUCCAUCUUCUUUUCUGAAAAUAUUUUACCCAGCUCAUACUUGACAGGACUGUUAUCCUAGUAAAAGGUGUAACCAAUGAAUUGAACACAAGUUAAAAAUUCCAAAAUACUAUAUAAUUCAUUUUAUGUGUCAAUUUGUUCGAAAAAAGUCGAAAAGAAGAGAGUUUUUUUUAAUGCCAUGAUUAUCUGCCGCUUUCUAGAUCUAUGCUUAGCAUUUAUUUCAGAUGACAUGGACUCCUCACCCUGGUGACCCUGCUGCCUUUCAUAACUUUAUCCGUAUACAUAUAUUAAUAGAUAAACAAAAGGCUGCAACUGGUAUUUGAUUCGUUGUAACGAGAAUAUUUGUGGUGAAUGGAAACUGUGAGGGUCAAAAUCUUAAAUUGCUUAUAAAUGUUGCUGGACCCAGUUUCGUUAUCUGAUCUGAAUUUUCUGAAAUGUGCAAGGUAGAUAGACAUUUUGAUUUUUUUUACUCGGUAAGUUUUGCCCUAAUUGCUUGAACAUUUGCAAUAUUAAAGCCGAUUUCAAUGAGUGUGUAGACAAAGGGAAUAUCUUUGGUUAUCUUGCUUGCUGAACAGAAAAGUCAUUGUUAGGUUAUGUAAACUACCCUACUUUAAGAGUAGACUAGUCCGACAAAUGACACAUCUUUCUGUCUGUAGGACCAGGCUAAUUCGAAAGGAGGGUAUAGACCUUACCUAACAAUGACUUCACGGUUUAGCUAACAAGCAAGCUAACCAAAGAUAUAACAUUUGCCUACAUACUCAAUGGAAUCGGCUGUAACUAAAAACUCGAAUACAUUUUAACAGACAGUGGUCUGGUUUGUUGAUGAAUAUUGUUUUUCCUAGAUUCACUCUUGAAAAAAUCAUUUGGUAACAUUUGGUCAUUGUAAUACGGACGCCAAGACAAUAAAUGAACCUCACACGAUCCCUCGACACAGUUGAGCUUAUAUAUGAUCUUAUAGCGAUUCGGGUUGAAAAUCAGUUGAAAUUAAGCCAGUUAUUUGUGUGUGUAGAUUUGUAUUGUUUUAAACUGUUAUGACUUUUUAAAGUUAAAUCUAGGUGUUUAAUCUAAGAAUUUCUUUUUUAAACUUAUUUACUUGUUUUAUACUCAAUUGGUAGUAUGAAGUUACGAGAUAUUUUAAUUUUUGAAAUUGAAGGCACAAUUAACAAAGCAAACGUUAGUUUCAAAUACUUUUAAAUAGAUUUUUAAGGAUAAUGUACCCUUGUGUUGAUCCCAUGCUAAACAUAACAAAAAUUCUCUGUACAAAGGUCUGUGAAUUUUCUACAAAAAUAGUGAUUUUAUUUUCACCAAAUUCUCUUUUUCUACUAAAUACAAUAAUGAACUAUAAAUAAUAAUGCUUUGCAAGAAGUUUCCCCUUGAUACAUGUAUAUGUACAAAAUUAUAUCUCUAUUAUCCCUUGAUACAUGUAUAUGUACAAAAUUAUAUCUCUAUUAUUCAUUGUCUGUGCUGUUUUGAUACUAUUGCAGUUUGCACAUUUUCGUAAUUGACAGGCCACAGGAGGGGGUGAUAAACCAUACACGAAAAUAUAAAAUAUUGAUCUAAGUACUUAAUUUGCAUCUCUGAACCCCACCCCGGCUUGUUUUUUAGGAGGGUGUCUAAAAAUGGUCGAUUACAGACAGCCGAGUACGCAUUUUACUUUCCAGGCGUGUUUACGUUGAUUGUUAAAGUCCUGAAAACGGAUAGAUAGAAACAAAAAUGUUUGAUUUAUCUGGCUUUAGAUUCAGUUUUUUUUAAAUAUAAAUUAAGUCUACAUUUUAAUAUAAUAAUACUAAGAAUUCACAAAUAUAAAAAAUGCAGAAAAAAAAUGGAGAUGUGAAAUAUCUUAAUAAGGAGUCAUUACUACAGAGAUGGUGUGUUUGACACACAAAACUUAAAAGCUUAGUGAUAUUACCAAUAUUAAAAUAAAAAGUGUAUUUUAGUUUGGUAGUUUUUCCAUUUACUCAUUUUCAAUCAUAAUUAAGGCACAUUUGAUUUUUAUUCAUAAAAAUAUUUAAAUAUAGAAAAGUAGGACACAUUGUUCACUUCCUCCCCUGUAAUUCUUUAUCAAAAAUAUUUAUUUAUUUUGGAAUUUUGAAAUGAAAAAGCUAAGAAAUCUUAGUUUUGUUAAUGUUCUCUAGGUUAUCUCGUCUUCAUUCUCUGACAUAUUCUCUGACAUAUUCUAGUCUGCCCUUUCAUAAAAUAGUGAUUUUUUUAGUGUUCUAUCGAACUUUCGAAAAAAAAUACCUGAUAACCGUUCAGACAAAAAAAAAUAUGUUGAAAAAAUCUUACAGAUACAGCAAGUGAUUCUUAAUAGCUGUAAGAUACAUUUUUCUUUUAAAAUACAACUUUUAAAUCUUACGGGAAACUAUUCCAAGCUUAACACUUUCACUGUAACCUCGCUCUAACUUAUCCCCCCCCCCAUCCCCCCAAAAAAAACCAAACAAACAAACCCGCAAUACUAUUGUCAUUCUUAUAGUCAGCACUCAAUUUUUCACAAACAAAUGUGUUUUAAGCUGCUAAAGACAUAUGAUUCAAACGCUCAGAAAGUCCUUUCUUCUAUAUUUUUGCUCUCCAUUUUUAUACAAAACCUUUUACAUUUUUAUUUUAUGGGUUAUUGUUGAAGGUCGUACAAUGACGUAUGGUUGUUAACACAUACUUUCUUUGGUUUCUUAUGGAAAUUUGUCCAUUGACAACAAACAUACAACAUCAUCUACUUUAUAUAAGUAUUGUAUAAAUUACAACGUAUUUUGGCGAUCUUGCAAAAUGAUCGUAAUCCCGAAAAUCGUAAACAUAUUUUCUUAUCUUAAAAGGGGGCAAGAAGGGUUCCAUUAACAGGCCAAUAAAUAAAAUCACAGUUAAUUUUAAAAAGAAUAAAAAAUAGGGUUUUUUUUUCUCUCAUAAUAACAGUAAACAGAUUCAUAACAAUGUCAAUUUCAAGAAAGCAGACAACAGUUAAUUACUAGUAGUCAAUAACAGUACAGCAUCAAUGAUCUUGAAUAUUUGCCACUUUUAACUAAAAUAUAAAGGCACAGAACCAGGACAUAGGAGCACAGAACCAGGACCGUUUUUCUUAUCACCAGCACAUCGUCAGGACAAUUCCGUUUAACGAACUUGCACGACUUUUGCAAUUUUAUAUUGUUGAAAUAUACUUUGCAUGGUACUUAUGACGCAUCAGAGAAAAAUUAAGCAACAAAACAGUCGUUUUAUUGCCGUUCUGAUACAAUGUAAACAAACCCACCAGCACAGAAUCAGGACCCACCAGCACCCGUCAGGACCAAAUCACCAGCACAGUUCUCGCAGGACAUACCACCGUGAUUAUCAUUACUGAUUUCUUAUCGUCUAUCAGAGUGGCUAAACGGUUUAAAAUGGGACAAAUAAAAUAGUUUAGACUUAUAUUAUUAAGAUAUGCUAUUGCUUAUAUAAAAAUAUUUUAAAGUAUCUGUUGAACUUUUAUAAUUUAAUAUGAACCGCGAUUCUCACUCUUUUUUCACUUCCCUAAAUAUUGUAAUAAUAUACAGCUUUCAAUAAACAAAAAAUCUUGAUUUACGUGUGUAAGUUUUACGGCUUCUUAGAUUAAAAAUCUAAACAUGUCUACUAGUUUGGGUAAAUCUUUAUUACUAAGCAAUGCAGAACGUACGAAGAUGCUCUCUUCUCAGUCAGACGAAACUAUAGUUUACAACUUGUCAAAGCUCCUGAAAGCGACGGCCAUUUCAUCCAAAACAAAUUAUAGAUAGAACUGCAAAAGCUACCCUUGUAGACUACUAUACGGAGAAUACGAAACUUCCAUCCACCCCCUUUCCAUGCAAGAAAAACUUAUAUAAUAUAAUAUGAUACAUGCAUAUUUUCCAACGAGGUAUGCAUACUUUCCAUUUGAUGUGGUCAUAAUUGUACUCUCAUAUCAAAAUUUAUAUAAUGUCUUAGAACUCCGUGUUACAUGUAAAGUGAAAUUAAACAUGUUAUAGCACAUUUGUGUACCUUUUAUAUCGUCGCGGCUUUUCACUCACAUAUGUGCUGUGUCGUUGUCGAAGUUAAAAUAAGAGGUUUUGUGGUUAGGUUCACUGCAUUUGGAAAAGCUAUUGGCGAAUUCCAGAUAAGAAGAAAAAAGUUCAAUGGCAGUUCAUUUCAUUAUAUUUUGUUAAAGAAAAAUCAGCUAAAACAGAGGUCCAUGAACACCUGUUUAUAGUAAAUAACUUAGCAAAUCAACAAUGUAAAACAAUCUCUGUUUUAUCAGCGUAUUUAUACGACUUUAAUAUCAAUCAGCGUAUUUAUAUUUUCUAGAUUCCAUCAUGGUGUUGGUCUGUUAAGCUGGAAGACAAGGCUCAGCAUUUAAUUGAUUUGAAAAUAAGCUGUCCUAUCUGUUUUCUGUUUGAUGUUGUGUUUAUCGUAUUGGUGGAUACAUCGGAUUUUUCAUCAACUAACAUGUUUAUCAACUCUCAUUGUGGUGAAAUUACUAUAUCAUUAAACAGCAGUUUUAAUCCAACAAAAACCUUCAUUCUGUAUGUAUACGGACUCAAAACAAUCAUUUCUAGUACCGGUCAAUAUGAUUCGGUGGUAUGUUAUGGAAAUAAAGAAAUUGAAUGUA